rnacentral:rRNA from 1 species
AAGCAAAAGCGAUUGCCUUAGUAACGGCGAGCGAAACGGCAAGAGGGCAAACCGAAGAGUUUACUCUUCGGGGUUGUAGGACUGCAACGUGGACUUAAAGAUUAUAGAAGAACUACCUGGGAAGGUAGGCCAAAGAGAGUAAUAGCCUCGUAUUCGAAAUAGUCUUUAUACCUAGCAGUAUCCUGAGUACGGCGAGACACGAGAAAUCUCGUCGGAAUCUGGGAGGACCAUCUCCCAACCCUAAAUACUCUCUAGUGACCGAUAGUGAACCAGUACCGUGAGGGAAAGGUGAAAAGCACCCCGGGAGGGGAGUGAAAUAGAACCUGAAACCGUGUGCCUACAACAAGUUCGAGCCCGUUAAUGGGUGAGAGCGUGCCUUUUGUAGAAUGAACCGGCGAGUUACGAUAUGAUGCGAGGUUAAGUUGAAGAGACGGAGCCGUAGGGAAACCGAGUCUUAAUAGGGCGCAUUAGUAUCAUGUCGUAGACCCGAAACCAUGUGACCUACCCAUGAGCAGGUUGAAGGUGAGGUAAAACUCACUGGAGGACCGAACCAGGGCACGUUGAAAAGUGCUUGGAUGACUUGUGGGUAGCGGAGAAAUUCCAAACGAACUUGGAGAUAGCUGGUUCUCUCCGAAAUAGCUUUAGGGCUAGCGUCGAUGUUAAGUCUCUUGGAGGUAGAGCACUGUUUGGGUGAGGGGUCCAUCCCGGAUUACCAAUCUCAGAUAAACUCCGAAUGCCAAUGAGAUAUAAUCGGCAGUCAGACUGCGAGUGCUAAGAUCCGUAGUCGAAAGGGAAACAGCCCAGACCACCAGCUAAGGUCCCAAAAUAUAUGUUAAGUGGAAAAGGAUGUGGGGUUGCACAGACAACUAGGAUGUUAGCUUAGAAGCAGCUAUUCAUUCAAAGAGUGCGUAAUAGCUCACUAGUCGAGUGACCCUGCGCCGAAAAUGUACCGGGGCUAAAACAUAUUACCGAAGCUGUGGAUACCUUUAUAGGUAUGGUAGGAGAGCGUUCUAUGUGCGAAGAAGGUGUACCGUGAGGAGUGCUGGAGCGCAUAGAAGUGAGAAUGCCGGUAUGAGUAGCGAAAGACAGGUGAGAAUCCUGUCCACCGUAAGACUAAGGUUUCCAGGGGAAGGCUCGUCCGCCCUGGGUUAGUCGGGACCUAAGGAGAGACCGAAAGGUGUAUCCGAUGGACAACAGGUUGAUAUUCCUGUACUAGAGUAUAUAGUGAUGGAGGGACGCAGUAGGCUAACUAAACCAGACGAUUGGAAGUGUCUGGCCAAGCAGUGAGGUGUGAUAUGAGUCAAAUGCUUAUAUCUUUAACAUUGAGCUGUGAUGGGGAGCGAAGUUUAGUAGCGAAGUUAGUGAUGUCACACUGCCGAGAAAAGCUUCUAGCGUUAAUUAUACUCUACCCGUACCGCAAACCGACACAGGUAGUCGAGGCGAGUAGCCUCAGGUGAGCGAGAGAACUCUCGUUAAGGAACUCGGCAAAAUGGCCCCGUAACUUCGGGAGAAGGGGCGCUGACUGAUGGUCAGCCGCAGUGAAUAGGCCCAAGCAACUGUUUAUCAAAAACACAGCUCUCUGCUAAAUCGUAAGAUGAUGUAUAGGGGGUGACGCCUGCCCGGUGCUGGAAGGUUAAGAGGAGUGCUUAGCGUAAGCGAAGGCAUGAAUUGAAGCCCCAGUAAACGGCGGCCGUAACUAUAACGGUCCUAAGGUAGCGAAAUUCCUUGUCGGGUAAGUUCCGACCCGCACGAAAGGCGUAAUGAUUUGGGCACUGUCUC